rnacentral:rRNA from 1 species
UUGAAAGGGAAACGAUUGAAGUCAGUCGUGCUGGCGCGAAAUCAACCCUCUCGUCGAGAGGUCACAUGGCGUGGCGAGCCUCAAAACCGUCACGAAGCGUGAACUCUUGGUGAAAUGGAGCACUUUCGUGUCCGCUGGUUAACAUCAAUUUCGAACGUCAUAAAAAGGCUGGAGGGAUGUGGCUCCUUCGGGAGUGUUAUAACCUUUAGCGGAAUGUGGUGUUCGGGAUUGAGGAUUGCAACGAAUACCUUUAGGGCUGUUCCACCUGGCUUCUCUUUGGUAUCCUGGUGAAGACAGCUUGCUGACUUUGUUAGGAUUCGCCUUUGAACAGGCUAGAGUGUGAGCAAAUUCGUUAAGGAUGUUGACGUA